CAGACCAGAUGGCUAAGGAAGAGGGCCCUGAACAGUUAGUCCAAGUCCUGGUCUCCUGACAGAGAUUUGUAUGGCAUGACCAAACAGCAGUUCAACCAGAUGAUCUUAGUUUGUGAAGACAAGCAAAAACCAAAAAUAUUUUAUUAUGUUUCACUUUUGAUACUAGAUAGCACCAGCAGGUUCAUUCAAAACUACCCAGACUAACCCACAGUCCAGGUGAACCUAAGGUUAGAAUCUCAAAACAUGCAUAAGAGAAAAAGCACUCCCCCAGGCCAUCUCUUUAAAAACAACAACAUUAGAGAGUAUGUUGUGACAAUUGUAUAUCUAGAUGAGGUGCUACAGCCAAGGGGGCCAUAUUUCUACAUCAUCCCCUCUUCAACUGUCGUUUCUUAGAAGGUCCUUGCCACUUGGUGAAAUAGAAUGGCAGGACUCUGACCUCUUUGGCCACAGAAGGACUCCAUGAUAAGGGAGACAAUGCCCCAAUUCGUAUACAUAUGGCAGUGUCUUUUUAUUUUCCAGGCAAUUGGACAUGUCAAAUUCUCAGCCUUUGCUAGAUUCUUAACAAACUGGUCUAGGUCAUGACCACUGAUGGCCUCAAAAUUGAUAAUCGGUUGAUGGAUCACCUGGACCACAGAGCCUGUU